AGGGAGGCUGAGCAGCCGGGAGACUCCCAGCCACCAGCAAGCUUUAUGUAGGUCCAGUGCUGGACUCAGAUGACUUGGGUAACUCAGACUUUCUGCAUGCCCUUAUGAAAACCAUGAUCUGCUACCAACCUGUGGGCCAGGAAGUCAUGCACCUGCAUCUGGAUCCCUCUGGUACCUGUGAAAUCUAGAUUCCCCAGGCCCGCUCUCUGGAAAUAUAAAUCUGGAGGAAGUUUCUCUGAUGACUGAGCAAGGCAAUGAUCU